rnacentral:piRNA from 1 species
UAAGACUGAGUCUGAAGGGCUAGAGUCCUAUU